rfam:Pteropus alecto contig7788, whole genome shotgun sequence.
GUCUACGGCCAUGCGACCCUGAACAAGCCCUAUCCCGUCUGAUCUCAGAACCUAAGCAGGGUCAGGCCUGGUUAGUACUUGGAUGGGAGACCACCUAGGAAGACCAGGUGCUGUAGGCA